rnacentral:rRNA from 1 species
GACGAACGCUGGCGGCGUGCUUAACACAUGCAAGUCGAACGUGAUUUUUGUGCAAAUUCUUUCGGGAAUGGGAAUACAAUGAAAGUGCCGAACGGGUGAGUAACACGUGAGUAACCUUCCUUACACAGGGGGAUAGCCGAUGGAAACGACGAUUAAUACCGCAUGAGACCACAGAAUCGCAUGAUAUAGGGGUCAAAUAUUCAUCGGUGUAAGAAGGGCUCGCGUCUGAUUAGCUAGUUGGAAGGGUAAAGGCCUAUCCAGGCGACGAUCAGUAGCCGGUCUGAGAGGAUGAACGGGCACAUUGGAACUGAGAAACGGUCCAAACUCCUACGGGAGGCAGAAGUGGGGAAUAUUGCACAAAGGGGGGAACCCUGAUGCAGCGACGGCGCGUGCGCGAAGAAGGUUUUCGAAUCGUAAAGCUCAUUCCGAUGAGAAGAUAAUGACGGUAUCAUAGGAGGAAGCCCCGGCUAAAUACGUG